CCCUUAGAUGUCCUGGGCCGCACGCGCGUUACACUGAUGCAUUCAACGAGCUUAUAACCUUGGCCGAGAGGCCUGGGCAAUCUUGUUAACGUGCAUCGUGAUAGGGAUGGAUUAUUGAAAUUAUUAAUCUUGAACGAGGAAUUCCUAGUAAACGCAGAUCAUCAAUCUGCAUUGAUUACGUCCCUGCCCUUUGUACACACCGCCCGUCGCACCUACCGAUUGGAUGGUCCGGUGAAGCCUCGGGAUUGUGGUUCUUGCCGCUUUAUUGUGGCGUGACCGCGAGAACUUGUCUAAACCUUAUCAUCUAGAGGAAGGUGAAGUCGCAACA
rnacentral:rRNA from 1 species